CUGCUGUCUACCUUCCUCGCUCGAUUUUGCUUCUUGACAUCGUGGCUUUGGCGAUUUGGCGUUUAAUUUACUCCUUUUUCAACGCUUUUCAAGGUGGUGGAAGCCGUACUUGCCAUGAGUUAUUAAACAGUUUGGAAAAGGACAUUUUCCAUGGAAUGCCCACAAGGAGGAGGUGGGAGUCGAGCAUGUAGGUGUCAUAAGAAGUGGGCCAUAUGUAGCAAGGGACUUUCCACAAGGAGGGGUCAUUGGUGGCAGCAAGUGUUACAAUUGUCAUGAAGUUGGCCACACCUCGAAAGGCUGUCCGAAUCUAUUCGUGAAUUGACGAAAAACGGAAAGCCGCGUGAACAAUACAUUCCGGAAGCUAUGACAUGCGAUGAAAAGGAACUGUUUAAGGGGAUCGUCUGUGGGGAAAGCUUUAACAAUUUUGAUAAAGUCGUUCUCCAGGUUACAGGAAAAGAUGUACCUCGAUACAUAACAUCAUUCGAAGAAGCCGGCCUGCGCCCACUACUACUUCAAAACAUUAAGAAUUCUGGCUACAUAAAACCAACACCUGUACAGAAAGCUUCAGUUGCAGUUAUUCUUGCCAAAAGAGAUUUGGUUGCUUGUGCUGUCACGGGCUCCGGCAAAACGGCGGCGUACUUGGUACCGGUUAUGAACAUAUUGUUAGAACAAGGUGUUGCUGGUGCGUCCCCGCCAUGGUUCAAAAGCCAGAAGUUGUAAUUGUCGCACUCACUCGUGAAUUUUCGAUUCGAAUUCACCGCGGGUCGUGUAAAUUCUCCUCCAAUUCGGUUUUAAAAUCUGUCAUAAUAUAUGAAGGAACUGCCACGAGCCAUCAGUGGUCAAAUCUUCAAGCUGGGUGCAAUACUCUUGUCGCGACCGCGGGGUGACUCGAGGAUUUUCUCGACCGUGCAGUAUUUUACUUCUCGACGGCCAGGUUUUUAAUUUUGGACGAAGCUGAUCGAAUGCUUUAUGGGUUUCGAUCCGAUAUUGAAAAAAUUGUCAACCAUCCAACGAUGCCUCCGAAAGGAAUCCGUCGUGUUUGUAUGUUUACGGUUUCACUGGCGCCCAAGUCGGAAAAUUGCCUUGUCUGGAAAUUUCGCGAAGUGUGACGGCUUUUGGCAGAACAAUGGUUGAGAAAACAAUAGAGGAAGUGGAGUCUAAAUUUUGCGUCGAAAAUGGCUAUACCUAUGACGCCAAAGUAAUCUAUGGUAACACAGAUUCCGUAAUGGUGAAAUUCGGUGUACCCACGGUGGCCGAAGACAUGGAAUUAGGCCGAGAAGCUGCCGCAUUUGUAUCGGCAAAAUUUGUCAAACCCAUUCAUGUGGAAUUGGAAAAAGUCUUACCCCUAUUUAUUGAUCAACAAAAAGAGGUAUGCAGGAUUGUAUUAGACCAAACCUGAAAAGUUUGACAAAAUGGAUUGUAAGGGUAUAGAAACCGUUCGUCGUGAUAAUUGUCAACUCGUUGCCAAUCUUAUCAAUAGCUGUCUGCAGAAAAUUUUGAUGAGACCCGGAUGGAGCCUUAGAAUACGCCAAACAAACAAUUUCCGACUUGCAGUGCAACAAAGUCGAUAUCUCACUUCUGGUGAUUACCAAGGUAGAGCGUAACCAUGUUUUGGAAUACUGUGAUUUUAUCACAAAAUUAGGGGAUCGAGUUCCGUAUGUCAUUAUCGCAGCUGCUAAAAAUACACCAGCCUACCUCAAGGCGGAAGACCCGAUUUUUUUCCUGGAACAGCGUACCUAUUGAUUCCCAAUACUAUUUGGAAAAUCAGCUCUCAAAACCCCUUGUUCUGACUUUUGAACCCAUACUUGGAUCUAAAGCGGAAUCAUUGUUGCUACAUGGUUACCAUACCCGGACGCCUUCAGUUGUUACUUCAAAAAUUGGUGGAUUGGCUAGUUUAUCACACGCAAAUCCACCUGUGUUGGAUGCAAAACCGUCCUUCCAGACGAUAGUGCUGUAUGCAAAUUGUGCAAGCCGAAAGAAUCGGAGUUACCAGAGGGAAAUUGGCCAACUUUAUGCUCUCGAAGAGAAGUUUAAUCGUUUAUGGACAGAAUGUCAACGGUGCCAGGGAAGUCUCAACGAAGAGAUUCUUUGUUCCAACCGAGAUUGUCCCAUCUUUUAUAUGAGGACAAAAGUUAGAAAAGAUCUCACGGAACAGGAUAAACUUAUGAAAAGAUUCGGCCUACCCUGACCACCUACCGCUCUCGUCAAUGAUGGUGCGUACAGUCUCGUAGGGGGCUAGUCGCUAGGUGGCCUAGGUGCUGUGCUGUGCUGAGCUGAGCUGAGCUGCUGAUGGCCCCAUUUAACAUGGCGUCGUAGCGGUAGCCGAACGUGGCAGACCUUCCUUUUUGUAGGUGAAAUUCAAGGGAGGAACUGCAAAUGCUUGGCGCCAUCUUGUACGAACGAUGUAGUCUGGCGAACACCUUGCCAAGGUGACCAUGCAUUACCUUUGAGUGUAUUUAAGUUGCAAUUCGGUAGAUUUGCUCCGCAGUUUCCCGGAUACCACUAUCCUGCUUCGCGAGAACUACCCUACGUUGUUCUGGGGGGGCUUAGACGAACAUCUGAAUCCGAUUUUGAAGAAGUCUUGCAUCGAUGGACACUGACAAAAUAUAGGAAGCUGCACAUGAAUGUUGGGUAUUUUAUCGCAGAUUCGUAAUUAUAAAGAAUUGGGAAAGAAAAUUGACGGAGGCUCAGUGCCAAACAAAUUAUGGUAGUUGGAAUGAUUACUGAAGCUCUUCGGAUUCGUUUAUUUCACGUGUUAUGCGGGUCAUGCAGAUACUGUGAUCAGCAGAGAAGGUUAGAAGUGCGCUGCCCGGAAAGCAAAUUUGGGGUAAAAGAAAAAAACUUAUUCUAACUAGUAAGCCAUUUCCAAAUUCAACCAACAAAAAGGUAAACCGUGAG